rnacentral:rRNA from 1 species
UACGGAAUGUGCAAACGUUAUUCGGAAUCACUGGGCUUAAAGAGUCCGUAGGCGGCCUGUUAGGUGAGGUGUGAAAUCCCCCGGCUCAACCGAGGAAUUGCGCUUCAAACCGGCAGGCUUGAGGAGGAUAGAGGUGGGCGGAACUGAUGGUGGAGCGGUGAAAUGCGUUGAUAUCAUCAGGAACACCGGAGGCGAAAGCGGUCCACUGGGUCCUUUCUGACGCUGAGGUACGAAAGCUAGGGGAGCGAACGGG